CCCCCCGCGGCGCGGGGCGUCCCAGUCCGGGCAUGAAUGGCUGGAGCCAGAUUGCAUAAUCUCCGCAGUAUAAAUAGCCGGCGGGCGGGCCUCUGACGCGCUCGCUCGUACCGUUAUCGUGCCAUACUUGCCCCGAUGCCGCUCACUCCCAGCUCAUUUUCCUUUUCGGUCGCGCUGCUGGGAUUUUAAGUAACAGAGAUGAAAGGCUCUUGUCCCUGUCUCCCUCCUCCCUUGAGGUCAUAUAUUAUGAAUGAAACGGCAACCUCGCGGCUCCCCGAGGUGCCCUACUGCAGACUUUAUUUUUUAGGUACUCUCUACACCAAACAUGGGGCUCCAACUCACAACCCUGAGAUCAAGAGUCACAUGCUCUACUGAGCCAGCCAGGUACCCCCAUAACCAAACUUUUUCAGCAGGGAAUGCUACACUCAAAUUUACAUUUUUUAUAGAUUCCUCCAGGCAUGGAGGAUGGUUUGUAGGAAGCAAAACAAAGACUGGUUAGGAAGAAACUUUCUUCUUCCAUGACAGGGUAACAGUGCAUGACAACGCACAGUAGCAGUGGCCGUGGAGAGGGAAAACCAAUUCCAAAGACACAGGUGGGGUAGAAAUGACUUGGCUUUCAGAUCUAUUAGAGGUGGGGACUAACAGAGAAGUCUGGGAUAACUUCCAAGUUUUUGACUUGGAAAAUUGGAUGACUCUUGGUGCCUUUCAUGUGAUUAGGGUAACUGGUGGGGAAGGGGAGGAAGGUUCGGUCUCCCAAAGAUGAAGAGACAUAACUGACAGUUGCCACUACUCAACUCUAGGACCUACAAAAUAGGUCUGGGAUUAAGGGAUACAAUGAGGCUAGCACAGAGGAAAGCAGAACCUGGAGACAGAGACAGAGAGACAGUUCCCUGAGGACAUCAUUUGAGCAACUGAAUUCAAUCUCGUCUAAAGCUUAAGGAUGAUCUGGACUUUGAAGAUCAAAUUUGGUUUCUGUCACUUAUAGCCAAAAAAAAUUCUAACUACCAAAAUAGAAAGCCAUAUUUGGGAUCGUGAAAAAGAUUUGAGAGGAACUAAGGAAUGGAACAGAAGGGGAAUUUUAGAAUGUGUGUUUGCAAUUGAACAUAGGGACAUCUGGGGUCAGUGCCAGGGAGUUUCAUAGAGAUUCCGAUUUUGUAGAGUGACCUUCUCCCAGGAAGUUAGCCACCACUGUAUGAGUUGUAGCGACGUCUCUUUUUGGUGUCACCAUCACCUCUGUAAUUCAUACCUGUUCCUCCUCACUCUUAACAUCAUGCCUCAUUUUUUCUACCUUUAUUCCCCACCCUCUUCUUCUGUAAAGACCAUACUGAGAAAAGAAGCUUAAUCCUGAAAGAGAAUCAACUGAGCUCUUAGAAUUGGAAGAAAAUGAAAAAUCAUAUUUGGGGCAACUGUGGCUCCAAUAAGCUCAGUAAUGUAUGGUUCUUGUAUCAGUUCGCUUUUGCUGUAUAACCACCACAAAAUUUCGUGGCUUAAAACAAUAAACAUUUUAUUAUUUCU